UACGGAGGGUGCAAGCGUUAUCCGGAUUCACUGGGUUUAAAGGGCGCGUAGGUGGCUUUGUAAGUCCGUGGUGAAAUGUCGCGGCUCAACCGCGAAACUGCCAUUGAUACUGCUUAGCUUGAAUCACGUCGAGGUGGAUGGAAUAAUACAUGUAGCGGUGAAAUGCUUAGAUAUGUAGUAGAACACCGAUUGCGAAGGCAGUUCACUAGGCGUGUAUUGACACUGAGGCUCGAAAGCGUGGGGAUCAAACAGG
rnacentral:rRNA from 1 species